rfam:Syntrophomonas wolfei subsp. wolfei str. Goettingen, complete genome.
GGUCAAGAUAAAAAGAGCGUAUGGUGGAUGCCUAGGCGCCAGGAGGCGAAGAAGGACGCGGCAAGCGGCGAAACGCCACGGGGAGCUGCAAGCGAGCAUAGAUCCGUGGAUAUCCGAAUGGGGAAACCCGGCAGAGGCGAACCUCUGUCACCCUUACCUGAACACAUAGGGUAAGAGGAGCGAGACCCGGUGAACUGAAACAUCUUAGUAACCGGAGGAAGAGAAAUCAAGCGAGAUUUCCUAAGUAGCGGCGAGCGAAAGGGAAAGAGCCCAAACCAUGCAGGUGUAAAGGCUGCAGCCGUUGCCUGUAUGGGGUUGAGGGGUCUGCAGGACCAUACUGCAGUAUGGUCACAGAGUAAGAAAAUAUAUGUUUAGCUGAAUGAGCUGGAAAGCUCAGCCACAGAAGGUGAAAGCCCCGUAAGCGAAAAGCAUAUAUCUCUGAGCAGAAACCCCGAGUACCGCCGGACACGUGGAACCCGGUGGGAAGCAGGGAGGACCACCUUCCAAGGCUAAAUACUACCUGGCGACCGAUAGAGAAGAGUACCGUGAGGGAAAGGUGAAAAGCACCCCGGGAGGGGAGUGAAAAGAACCUGAAACCGUAUGCUUACAAACAGUAGGAGCACUAUUGGGAAGUGAGAAGUGGGAAGUUAGAAGUGAGAAAAGGGAAGAAAUCGGCACAGCCGAUUUCAUCACAAAAUCCCACCUCCCGCCUCUCACCUCUCACUUCCCAAGUGUGACUGCGUACCUUUUGUAGAAUGGGCCAGCGAGUUACUGUAUUAAGCAAGGUUAAGUUCAAAAAGGAUGGAGCCGCAGCGAAAGCGAGUCUUAAUAGGGCUAUAUAGUUUAAUGCAGUAGACCCGAAACCGGGUGAUCUAUCCAUGGCCAGGGUGAAGCGAUGGUAACACAUCGUGGAGGCCCGAACCAGAGUGCGUUGAAAAGUACGUGGAUGAGUUGUGGAUAGGGGUGAAAUGCCAAUCGAACCCGGAGAUAGCUGGUUCUCCCCGAAAUAGCUUUAGGGCUAGCGUCAGGAAAAGAGCCUUGAGGGGGUAGAGCACUGGUUAGGCUAGGGGCCUUACACGGUUACCGAACCUUCCCAAACUCCGAAUACCACAAGGUGCUACCUGGCAGUCAGACUGUGGGUGAAAAGGUCCAUAGUCGAGAGGGAAACAGCCCAGACCAACAGCUAAGGUCCCCAAAUCUAUGCUAAGUGGGAAAGGAUGUAGAGCUGCACAGACAGCCAGGAUGUUGGCUUAGAAGCAGCCACCAUUGAAAGAGUGCGUAAUAGCUCACUGGUCAAGUGGCUCUGCGCCGAAAAUGUAACGGGGCUAAGCAUAGUACCGAAGCUUUGGAUUCGACAGCUCCAUGAGAUGUUAGAAGUCAGAUUGCCUUAAGGAUGCGGCUGAGCCGUGCAAGGCAGUUAAGAGACAUAAGCAGAAUAGUUUGGAGCAAGAAAAGCAAUUAGCUAAGUUGAUUUAGCGAAGCCGCUAAAUCGCCCAAGCUAAGCAUAGUGGAUUUCUAGCAUGUCAUGGAGCUGUUGAGUGGUAGGGGAGCAUUCCUAAUGGGCAGAAGCUGUACCGAAAGGAGCAGUGGACUGUUAGGAAGAGAGAAUGCUGGCAUGAGUAAGCGAGAAGGCAGGUGAGAAUCCUGCCCGCCGUAAACCUGAGGUUUCCUGGGGAAGGCUCGUCCGCCCAGGGUAAGCCGGGACCUAAGCCGAGGCCGCAAGGCGUAGGCGAUGGACAACUGGUUGAGAAUCCAGUGCCACCUGAAGCCGCUAUAAGCGAUGGGGUGACGCAGGAGGAUAGGUGAAGCGCACGGAUGGAAGAGUGCGUCCAAGCACGUAGGGUAAUGGGCAGGCAAAUCCGCCCAUUGAAAAGCCUGAGGUGUGAUGGGGAGUGAAAUAUAGUAGCGAAGUCACUGAGUCCAAACUGCCAAGAAAAGCCUCUAGCAAGGUAACAGGUGCCCGUACCGAAAACCGACACAGGUAGGUGAGGAGAGAAUCCUAAGGCGCGCGAGAGAACCCUCGUUAAGGAACUCGGCAAAAUGACCCCGUAACUUAGGGAGAAGGGGUGCUCUAUUAGCGUGAGUAUGUUUAACAUAUAUGAGCGUGAGAGAGCCGCAGUGAUCAGGCCCAGGCGACUGUUUAGCAAAAACACAGGUCUCUGCCAAAUCGAAAGAUGAAGUAUAGAGGCUGACGCCUGCCCGGUGCCGGAAGGUUAAGAGGAAGUGUUAGCGCAAGCAAAGCACUGAGCCGAAGCCCCGGUGAACGGCGGCCGUAACUAUAACGGUCCUAAGGUAGCGAAAUUCCUUGUCUGGUAAGUUCAGACCCGCACGAAAGGCGUAACGAUCUGGGCACUGUCUCGACGAGGGGCUCGGUGAAAUUGUAAUACCGGUGAAGAUGCCGGUUACCUGCGAUAGGACAGAAAGACCCCGUGGAGCUUUACUGCAGCUUGAUAUUGAAUUUUGGUAGUUGAUGUACAGGAUAGGUGGGAGACUAAGAAGUGAGGUCGCCAGGUCUCAUGGAGUCAACGGUGGGAUACCACUCUUUAAUUGCUGGGAUUCUAACCUGGGCCCGUAAUCCGGGUCAGGGACAGUGUCUGGCGGGCAGUUUGACUGGGGCGGUCGCCUCCCAAAGAGUAACGGAGGCGCCCGAAGGUUUCCUCAGCGCGGAUGGAAAUCGCGCGAAGAGUGUAAAGGCAUAAGGGAGCUUGACUGUGAGAGAGACAUCUCGAGCAGGGACGAAAGUCGGGCUUAGUGAUCCGGCGGUACCGAGUGGAAGGGCCGUCGCUCAUCGGAUAAAAGCUACCCCGGGGAUAACAGGCUUAUCUCCCCCAAGAGUUCACAUCGACGGGGAGGUUUGGCACCUCGAUGUCGGCUCAUCACAUCCUGGGGCUGGAGAAGGUCCCAAGGGUUGGGCUGUUCGCCCAUUAAAGUGGUACGUGAGCUGGGUUCAGAACGUCGUGAGACAGUUCGGUCCCUAUCCAUCGCAGGCGCAGGAGAAUUGAGAGGAUCUGUCCCUAGUACGAGAGGACCGGGAUGGACAGACCGCUGGUGUACCAGUUGUCUCGCCAGAGGCAUCGCUGGGUAGCUAUGUCUGGGACGGAUAAGCGCUGAAAGCAUCUAAGCGCGAAGCCAACCUCAAGAUGAGUUCUCCCACUCCGAGAGGAGGUAAGAUCCCAUCAAGAACAGGUGGUUGAUAGGCCGGGUGUGUAAGUGUAGUGAUGCAUUAAGCUGACCGGUACUAAUAGAUCGAGGUCUUGACCUU